rnacentral:rRNA from 1 species
GACGAACGCUGGCGGCGUCCCUAAUACAUGCAAGUUGAGCGCUGAAGGUUGGUACUUGUACCAACUGGAUGAGCAGCGAACGGGUGAGUAACGCGUGGGGAAUCUGCCUUUGAGCAGGGGACAACAUUUGGAAACGAAUGCUAAUACCGCAUAAAAACUUUAAACACAAGUUUUAAGUUUGAAAGAUGCAAUUGCAUCACUCAAAGAUGAUCCCGCGUUGUAUUAGCUAGUUGGUGAGGUAAAGGCUCACCAAGGCGAUGAUACAUAGCCGACCUGAGAGGGUGAUCGGCCACAUUGGGACUGAGACACGGCCCAAACUCCUACGGGAGGCAGCAGUAGGGAAUCUUCGGCAAUGGACGAAAGUCUGACCGAGCAACGCCGCGUGAGUGAAGAAGGUUUUCGGAUCGUAAAACUCUGUUGGUAGAGAAGAACGUUGGUGAGAGUGGAAAGCUCACCAAGUGACGGUAACUACCCAGAAAGGGACGGCUAACUACGUG